GUCGGAGUUAGUUAUGAAUUAAGAAGAGAAAUUGAUCAAAUCGGAAAAUAAAAUGAAGUUACAUCACUACCGUCAUGAAGUUGCAUCGCUCCGACGUCAGGUGGCCUACGGCCAGAGCUGCGUGAAGUCGGGGAGUCACUACAGAGUCGUCGUGUCGAGCGGACGUGCACUGCCGUUAUAGUCGGGCAGUCUGCCGCGAACCUUCGUCAUGAACGGACGUGUCGAAUAAUUACGAUCGGAAAGUGGAGUGCUAUAGUCGCUCACCUAUAACUUGUAGGGACGUCAAGAAAGUGUGAUCGGAAAAGAGCACGUGUCCCGAUGAUUCGGUCCGAAUAUAGGAACCAUGGGUGGUGGAGGGCAAGUAGAGGGCGAGUAGCCCCUUCGCGCUAACGUCCUUAUGCGCGCUAGAUAACGAGAGACUGUGUAACCGUUACGAAUACCGUGACGUUGCCGUGAGUGUGUACCUUAUGCUGUGACUUUAUUUAAUCGUGAUACAAAAACUAUGUGGAAGUAAAUAAAAUGAUUGUGAUACUGAUGACGGCCAUUAUUGUCUUCUAACGCCCACUCUUCUAACGCCCACCCUCCAUUCUGAUGAUGUUACGACCGACAACCCCCACUGCUACGACAUCAGAAGUGGGAUUAGUGAACUUAUGAAGACAAUGUGAUGCGACGUUCACAACAAGACAAUGUAAGUUUGGAUUAUCACAAUCAGAAGAUUAUGAUGACUAUCACAUUCGUGUGACCACGUGAUGAAGAUGUAGUCUACAGCCAUGCCUGAAUUUGGAGAUGGACCUGAAUUUGAAGUGACCUGGACCUUGUUAAUGAUCGACAUCACUACAUGCCGUAAGAUAUGAUGGCGUGAACAUCACAAUAUGUCCAUACUGUGUGCAGUCGUGUUUGAAAAUUAUGGAACCUGAAAUUGAAAACUGUUAUUACGGUGAGUCGUUUUCAUACUGGAACCUUAUUGUUGUUGACUUUAUUGCUAUGUGAAUUUCCGUUUCUAAUAAUGAGGAAAUUGUUUUUUAAAAAAAACAAAAUUGACGAGACACAUUGUGUCAAUCCGUGUCAAUCACACCGCGUUUUCCAAUCUGUUUUCAUCAUCGUAAAAUCGUUGUAUUUUGGUCUAAAAAUAUUUCGAAUUGGUGUAGACACGCUUGACCUGCGUGGUUAAAGUUGUAUUUUCUCACUCCAAGCAAAAAGAAAUUAAUCAUGACAUGAUAAUUGUUUUGUAAUCUACCGUCAUUCGUCAAAUGUUUCAAUAUUCAACAUUCUUUAAUAAUCUUUUUAAACUGAUUGAAAGAAAGUCAUGUGAAUACGAUAAUACAGUGAAUUCUUUUGUUUCAUGUCAUAACUUGGUUCGGCAAUUGGUGGAUUGCAAGCGAGGAUGAAAAUGGCGCGGGCUGAGCCGUAGCCGUGUAAAGUGACGACAUCAUGGCAGCACGUUGUAUACCAGCCGGACUUACUGCGCUGGUGCUGUUGACGACCUAAACUAUGUCACAAGACCAGUGGUUGAUCUUUUAUUGGAAAUUCUUAUAAGUCCUGGUGAGUCGUAUCUGUUUUACCUGAUUUGAAAUAUGGGAAGUUGUAAUAAGAUACAAACGAACUUAGUGCAGAAAGUUCUCUUUUACUUUAGUUAAAUUGGAAAUUGUAAUGAAGUGAAGUAAACAUUGCGAAGUAAAAUUAUUUGGAUCAUGAUUAAAUGAAAUAGGCUUAGAAAAUGCCCGAAACAGAGUAAAUCAUUAGAAAGAAAAUUAGAGCAAAACAUUCUAAAUGAUGAUCAUACCAAAUCAGUAAUUGUGUAAGUGCAGUAAUAUUUCCUCAAGGUGUUGGUCGUUACAUUGUGACUUUAUGACUUGUGUGUGAGAGAGCCAGGGUGCUCUGUCGUUUUGUGGUCGUGGACCAAGGUGGCCAUCCCGGGAGGGGAUGUUGUGACUCAUGACUGUUUUGUAGCGUAACCGCAGUUUGGGGAGGAAUAUUACAGCCUGUUGUGCUUUGCAGUAGAUGUGUAAUGUUGGUUGAUUUAAUUGAGCAAUGAAAGCUAUGAUUGACCUGUUUCGGAGCAACUCUGAUAGGAAGCUGCGCACUUGUAGUGUUCGGGGCUGCAGCCACUUUUGUGCUGCUCGUCUUAGAAACUACAGGUAUGCGGUCGAGGCCUGGAUGUCAUGUUGACUUUGUAUUUGGUCAUGACAUUGUACCUGAAUCUAAGUCAAGUUGACCUCCGGUAGAAUUAGUCGAACUGCGCAAAUUAGAAAUUAGUGAUAUAAAAGAAAUUGUGUAACGCAUUGACCACUAUUCUACCAACUAAAAUGUAAAGUUUGUGUGCUAGCUGUGUUGAGAUAUCGUCACUUGGUGUAAGUGGCAUGAGUUGCUGUCGCUCGAUUUAGGUGGCAGUAACGACUGUGUUGGGAUAUCGUCACUUGGUGUAAGUGGCAUGAGUUGCUGUCGCUCGAUUUAGGUGGCAGCAACGACUGUGUUGAGAUAUCGUCACUUGGUGUAAGUGGCAUGAGUUGCUGUCGCUCGGUUUAGGUGGCAGCAACGACUGUGUUGAGAUAUCGUCACUUGGUGUAAGUGGCAUGAGUUGCUACCGCUCGAUUUAGGUGGUAGUGACGCCUGGUUGUGAGAUAUCGUCACUUGGUGUAAGUGGCAUGAGUUGCUGUCGCUCGAUUUAGGUGGCAGCAACGACUGUGUUGAGAUAUCGUCACUUGGUGUAAGUGGCAUGAGUUGCUGUCGCUCGGUUUAGGUGGCAGCAACGACUGUGUUGAGAUAUCGUCACUUGGUGUAAGUGGCAUGAGUUGCUACCGCUCGAUUUAGGUGGUAGUGACGCCUGGUUGUGAGAUAUCGUCACUCAGUAGAGUGGCAUGAGUUGCUACCGCUCGAUUUAGGUGGUAGUGACGCCUGGUUUUGAGAUAUCGUCGCUCAGUAGAGUGGCAUGAGUUACUAUCGCUCGUUUAGGUGAUAGUAACGACCGAUGUGUAAAGAGUAAUUGGAUUUUCAAGUUUGGUUGUUUAUAGUGUGUGAAUACUGGUCAAUGGUCCGUGUAUUGUUAGUUGAUGAUUUAUCAUGAUGUAAUGUGAGCUCAUGUAGAGUCACAAGUAGAGCUCGUGUAGAGUCACAAGUAGAGCUCGUGUAGAGUCACAAGUAGAGCUCGUGUAGAGUCACAAGUAGAGCUCGUGUAGAGUCACAAGUAGAGCUCGUGUAGAGUCACAAGUAGAGCUCGUGUAGAGUCACAAGUAGAGCUCGUGUAGAGUCACAAGUAGAGCUCGUGUAGAGUCACAAGUAGAGCUCGUGUAGAGUCACAAGUAGAGCUCGUGUAGAGUCACAAGUAGAGCUCGUGUAGAGUCACAAGUAGAGCUCGUGUAGAGUCACAAGUAGAGCUCGUGUAGAGUCACAAGUAGAGCUCAUGUAGAGUCCUUUAUAGAGUCUCAUGUUAGGUCAGGAAUGACCGAGCGAACUUGGAUACUGUGCUGUGGUAUAUUGUUUCAGAUUAACACACGAGGACGUGUGUCACGCAGGAUGGCCGUGUCGGAGUUAGUUAUGAAUUAAGAAGAGAAAUUGAUCAAAUCGGAAAAUAAAAUGAAGUUACAUCACUACCGUCAUGAAGUUGCAUCGCUCCGACGUCAGGUGGCCUACGGCCAGAGCUGCGUGAAGUCGGGGAGUCACUACAGAGUCGUCGUGUCGAGCGGACGUGCACUGCCGUUAUAGUCGGGCAGUCUGCCGCGAACCUUCGUCAUGAACGGACGUGUCGAAUAAUUACGAUCGGAAAGUGGAGUGCUAUAGUCGCUCACCUAUAACUUGUAGGGACGUCAAGAAAGUGUGAUCGGAAAAGAGCACGUGUCCCGAUGAUUCGGUCCGAAUAUAGGAACCAUGGGUGGUGGAGGGCAAGUAGAGGGCGAGUAGCCCCUUCGCGCUAACGUCCUUAUGCGCGCUAGAUAACGAGAGACUGUGUAACCGUUACGAAUACCGUGACGUUGCCGUGAGUGUGUACCUUAUGCUGUGACUUUAUUUAAUCGUGAUACAAAAACUAUGUGGAAGUAAAUAAAAUGAUUGUGAUACUGA
rnacentral:lncRNA from 1 species